rnacentral:rRNA from 1 species
UACGUAGGGGGCAAGCGUUGUCCGGAUUUAUUGGGCGUAAAGAGCGUGUAGGCGGCUUUACAGGUCCGUUGUGAAAACUCGAGGCUCAACCUCGAGACGCCGGUGGAAACCGUAAGGCUAGAGUCCGGAAGAGGAGAGUGGAAUUCCACGUGUAGCAGUGAAAUGCGUAGAGAUGUGGAGGAACACCGAUGGCGAAGGCAGCCCCCUGGGUCAAGAUUGACGCUCAUGCACGAAAGCGUGGGGAGCAAACAGG